GCCCAUGUAGCUCAGUAGGUAGAGCGUAUCCUUGGUAAGGAUAAGGUCACCAGUUCGAUUCUGGUCGUGGGCU
rnacentral:tRNA from 1 species